CCAGGAUUAGUAGUGCAGGUCUCUGAGAACUGAGGCCAUGGUGAGAGGCUCCAGGGAAAUAUGACAGGCGCAGAGGUAAGGAAGAGGCAAAUGGUAGAUGAAGUCAGCAAAGACUCACAUGCUACCCUGCGUCGGGAUGGUGGAAGGCCCAUGAGGAGCCUCUUAAAGACCUUGCCAUGUAUUCCAGGUGUUACCAUUGCCUUACUUGCUGAUAAACCUUGGAUUGGAUAGUCUGCUUCCCUCAUCACCUUCCCAGGUGUGAGUCAGAGUGGGAAAUUCGUGCCCAAUCAGCCCCUGAGAUCUCUGCCUCUCUGUUCUGGAGCAGAGGCCGUGAACACCGCACAGCCACACUCCACCCAGCAGGCAUUUGAGUGUGCUGUUGGGCAGCAGCCACUGGGAGGCAGCCAGUUUCUACUGUCAGGUUUUCACAGGAGGGUGUUAGAGACAACCCAGUGAUGCCCAAAAGCAACAUGACAAAUACUGUGUGACUACUGUCCGUUGCAAGGCCUCACAGGGCGCUGCGGUCAACCGGAGAAGGGAGGAGUUUGGCGGAAGUAGGUGAGAAGUUUCUGGAGGUGGUGACACGUCAGCUGAGAGCCUUCUGAAAAAUCUUUGGAGAAAAGGACUACUAUUCAUCCCCAAAUGAGGAGGGCAGACUGACUGGAAUGGAAAAGAGUUGACCUGGACCUGCUGGUUGGAGUUGCUGGUUCCUUUCAGUCGCGCUCAUGUUGACUAUUGGCCUCAUGUGGCUUGUGACUAGAACCUACAUCAAGAAGGAAAAUUCUC